GAUGAACGCUGGCGGCGGGCUUAACACAUGCAAGUCGAACGGUGAAGCAGAGCUUGCUCUGUGGAUCAGUGGCGAACGGGUGAGUAACACGUGAGCAACCUGCCCCUGACUCUGGGAUAAGCGCUGGAAACGGCGUCUAAUACUGGAUAUGAGCUGCGACCGCAUGGUCAGCAGUUGGAAAGAUUUUUCGGUCUGGGAUGGGCUCACGGCCUAUCAGCUUGUUGGUGAGGUAAUGGCUCACCAAGGCGUCGACGGGUAGCCGGCCUGAGAGGGUGACCGGCCACACUGGGACUGAGACACGGCCCAGACUCCUACGGGAGGCAGCAGUGGGGAAUAUUGCACAAUGGGCGAAAGCCUGAUGCAGCAACGCCGCGUGAGGGAUGACGGCCUUCGGGUUGUAAACCUCUUUUAGCAGGGAAGAAGCGAAAGUGACGGUACCUGCAGAAAAAGCGCCGGCUAACUACGUG
rnacentral:rRNA from 1 species